GCCAGUGUGGGUUAGUGGUUUGUGUGUUGGACUGAGACUCUGGAGAUCAGGGUUCAAUUCCCCACUCAGCCA